rnacentral:tRNA from 1 species
GGGCCCGUGAAUCUGACUCCAGAUCAGAAGGCUGCGUGUUCGAAUCACGUCGGGCUCA